rnacentral:pre_miRNA from 1 species
AGUGGAAUUGUCAGAACAUAUGGUAACUAUAUGUUUAACUUUUUGAGAAACUGCCAGACUGUUUUCCAAAGUUGCUGUACCAUUUUAUAUUUCCACCAGCAAU